GCACAGAUCCCUCAGCGCCGCACGGAGUGUGGAAGCUGCUUGGCUUCCGUACAAAGGAAUCACCGUAGGAAGGGAAUCGGGAAACCAGGACUCUGGGCUCAGACACAACAGUGGGACACACCACCAAGCAGAGGCCCAUAGGGUCCCAUCCCCCAGGGGACAAGACAGCCCUGGGGACUGUACCUGAGUGAUUGCAUUCAGCUCUUCCAGGAUGGCGUCCUCAUCCUCCUGGGUGAAGUUUCCGGCCAGCAGCUCAUCAAUUUGCUGUGGAAGGAGAGGUAUCGAGGGGCGUGUCUGGGGGGGCUCUGGGUGCCCCCGGGAACAUGAAUGGACUGUGAAGGGUAUUUCCAACUGGGCCUCUGGGUUCCCCCGGGAAGCAGUGGAUCGCCACACAAAUGCCAACUUGGUGAUCACAAAUGGGUGAGCCUGUGCCCAGCAACACAUACCCGCUGGUACUCCACUGCCUCCUGGGUCUCGUCCAGGAUCCUCUCCACCUCCUCUAUGGACAUCACCUGAUGAAGGUUCAGAGCUGCUCAGCAAGGGAGAGGACAGCCCACAGCAAGGCCACACCCUCAUCCUGUCUCUCCUUCAGCAAAGCCAGGGAAGUGGGCCUGCCCUUGGCGUUGAGCCAGACCAGUCUUCCACUGCCCAGACCUUCCCAGGCCCUGAACAACCCCGACAAUUGAGAGUAAACCAGGUCAAAACUG
rnacentral:lncRNA from 1 species